GAUGAAGAACGUAGCGAAAUGCGAUACUUGGUGUGAAUUGCAGAAUCCCGUGAACCAUCGAGUCUUUGAACGCAAGUUGCGCCCGAAGCCAUUAGGCCGAGGGCACGCCUGCCUGGGCGUCACACGUCGUUGCCCCCCCAUCUACUCCUUCGGGAUUGCGGGGGGCGGAUGAUGGCCUCCCGUGCGCCUCGUCGCGCGGUUGGCAUAAAUGCCAAGUCCUCGGCGACGCACGCCACGACAAUCGGUGGUUGCGAAACCUCGGUUGCCCGUCGUGUGCGGUCGUCGCGCAUCGAGGGCUCGAAAAAAUUGCCGGGCUCCGGCUCGGCUUUCAACGCGACCCCAGGUCAGGCGGGGUUACCCGCUGAAUUUAAGCAUAUCAUAAGCGGAGGA
rnacentral:misc_RNA from 1 species